CAGUCGCCGCGGUAAUACGUAUGUCACGAGCGUUACCCGGAUUUAUUGGGCGUAAAGCGCGUCUAGGUGGUUAUGUAAGUCUGAUGUGAAAGCCCCCGGCUCAACCGGGGAGGGUCAUUGGAAACUGGGAAACUUGAGUGCAGAAGAGGAGAGUGGAAUUCCACGUGUAGCGGUGAAAUGCGUAGGUAUAUGGAGGAACACCGGUGGCGAAAGCGGCUCUCUGGCUUGUAACUGACGCUGAGGCUCGAAAGCGUGGGGGGCAAACAGGAUUAGAUACCCGAGUAGUCCCUGUCUCUUAUAC
rnacentral:rRNA from 1 species